GGUACCUUUAAUUCAGUCCCGUGAGGCUGGCAAGGACAGCGGAAAUAAUGAUGAGUGCUAUGGCGGCCUAUGUGUGUAGGUUUCCCAUGGUUCAUUAUGGUAGAAAAAGCUUCUUGUCAGAAAUGGCAAGGAGCUUUUUUUGU
rfam:Bacillus sp. B-jedd genome assembly, contig: CONTIG000001